AAAAGGAGGAAAGAAUAGAUGUGUGUCAUUGCUUUUCAUCCAAGUGGCUUUGCCACCAGGCUGGCACACUCCUGCAUUGUAAUGCACUUUUCAAGCUAUGGGGUGGUUUGAAGCCACAUCUGGUAUCAGAGACUGGAGUGAAAGUAUAAAGCUGUCUGCCUUCUGCCCUGAGAUUCACUCCUUGCCUUGGCUGUAAGCCACUAAACCACAAUUAAAAUAGCAUGAACAGGAUGUGUCACUGAAAUGAAGAUCACAGUGUUCCCUCAAACCCUCUGGUAAGCCCUGUGUAUGGCUUGCAUCCCUUGGGCACUGGUGUACAGGUAAAAGGCUUUACAAGCACAGCCAGAAAUUUAUGGCAGGAGCAGAUGAGGAGACAAAAACAAGAAUAUAAAGCAAGUGACAGAACUGGAGACAAGACAAUAACAAGUAAAUUGCCUCUUUGUUUUUCUCCCUCAUUUUCCAGCACUUUGGUACUAAGAACAGGCUCAGCGUUGUCAGCAGUAAAGCAAUGUUCUCUGUGUCUCCAA